AGAGUUUUUAUCAUUUUCGUUAUCUCUGCUGAUGUUUUGGAUUUUUUUAUUUAUGAUUUUUGUGCGAUGAUUAGGGUUGAAGAAUUUGGUGAUUAGGGUUGUAAGCAAUCUAAUUUGACUGUUGAUAGCAUUCGUUUUAUUUUAGAACUCAAAGCCAUCAACAACUUAUUGGCCCUUGCAGUUGGAUUAAAGCAAAACAAAAGUGUGAACAUGAUUGUAAAGAAGGUCUUAUCAAGUGCUUCUCAACCAGUUCACUGUUCACCCAAACGACUGCCACCACCAGUUCACCCGAAUCUGAUGAAUCGCGCCGCACCACCAAUAGAAAGAAGGGGGAACGCCUGAACUGGAGAAAGGUACAGUUAGGCUGUUCAAGAUCUUUAUGAAGUUGUCCAUGACAUCCUUUCUAUGGACCUGAGGGAAAACUAUGAGACAUGGAAAUUUUUGUCAAAUGCAAGGACGGAAGGUCGUCUAUUUGCAUAGUUAAAGUGGCCCAAGGACCCUAAGUUGGUAUGUUUGAGCAGAUUACCUGAUCUCCUUAGUUGGGUUUAGAUUUAAUGCUCAGUAUUAUGUUGUGCUUCUGCUGCUUUUUAGUUAUUGAGGAUAUGCAGAGAGUGCAAGUGAAAAGAUUGUAUUCACUGUGUUGACGCAUUAUUUAUAACGAGAGAUCCAAAAGGAAGGACAGGUUCAAUCUCAAGUGAUGACACAAAAGCUCCAUAGAAAACGUGUCAGCUUUUGACUCAAAUUUUGACGGUGCCCCUAUCAUCUCUCCGAAAACAAAAGCAACCCCAAACAAUUCCGGAAUCAUUUUUACGUGUCCCAAAAUAC